rnacentral:rRNA from 1 species
AUUUGACCUCAAAUCAGGUAGGACUACCCGCUGAACUUAAGCAUAUCAAUAAGCGGAGGAAAAGAAACUAACAAGGAUUCCCCUAGUAACUGCGAGUGAAGCGGGAAAAGCUCAAAUUUAAAAUCUGGUGGUCUCUGGCCAUCCGAGUUGUAAUCUAGAGAAGUGUUACCCGCGCUGGACCGUGUACAAAGUCUCCACAAA